AGAAGGAAGCGGGAGGAGCAAGGGGAGGAGCGGGAGUUGAUCGGCAGAGGGAGGAUGGGGUAGAGAGGGCGGAGUCUGGGCGGGGAGUGAGAGGAGAGAGGUCAGAGGUGCUAGAAGCUGCUGGCUGCCAGGAGCAGGCGCCGCCGCGGAGGGAACUGCUUCCCUUCUCUCUGAGGUCUCCGUGUCUCAUUUCCCAGAAUGAAGCAUAAAGACAUUCCAUGCUUUGAAAUUUCUAGUCCUAUUUAAGAGAGAUUUUCUGAGUGAAAGGCCACCAGGUGACAUCAUCAACUGUCUAGAUUGUACUACCGAAGUGGGAUUUGAUUCCAGGAACACAAACAGUCCCAGAAAGCAGAAUGAAACACAGAGUCAAGCAUCUGAAUGGACGAAGAGAGCUGUAGACAUCAGAAAACGACUCUGCCUCAUACCCCUGAAGACCUGUUGCUGUUUCCUGCAGGCAUGGAGAAAGCCAACUUUGGAGGUUAGAAAAGAACCUGGGUCCCAAGAUAAGUUGUGAAGAAUGGGAAGCCCAAGAUAAGGCAGCAGCAGAUUUGUUGCUUCCUACUUGCUUUCUUCUCAAGAUGAGGCCUUCCUUCUCUUUGAAUCCUUUUUUGUAAGGAUCCUAAUCCACAGCUUCAUUUCUUGUCAUCAUCAUCAUCAUCAUCAUCAUCAUCAUCUUAAUGUAUGAAUUUCACGAAGACACAGACAUUCAGACCACAGCAGACGGGAUUCCCAAAUUGGUACCAUACCUGUGCUUUCAACAGGUCAUACCCCAGUUCUGCUGACCACCUGUCCUAACUGAUGAUGCAGGUUCCAGACCAAUGGUUUCCAUAGGGAAGCCCCAUUAUUAGGACUUGUUAGAUAUAAAACAGUUCCUUGGUUAUAGGUAGUGCUUUGGAAAUAGCUUAGUGGAGCAGGUUUAAAAAUGGUGGCUCUUGGCAGAUACAAUGUAGAUGGAAAAACAGACAUGCUGGAAUAUUACUUCCUUUGUUUGAAAAAUUCCACUUAUUUAAUGUAAAUAGUGUCACUAGAAAACUGCUCAGAUUUUUCCUAGGCAUAGUAAAAAAUCAAGGUAAGAAUUGGUAUUCCACUUCCUCCAGGAACCCCCAACUUCCUCCUUCUACUUCCCCCAGGAAGUGAUGGGAUCUCAAAAUUUAAGACCCCAUUAUGAUCAAACAAUGUAAACAAAUGUACAAAGAAUGUGAGAUUAAUUUUGCUUAUAACUUGGCUGCUUGAGGUAUAUCUGGAGAACUGGUCUCUCUCUCUCUCUCUCUCUCUCUCUCUCUCUCUCUCUCUCUCAAUUAGUUUGAUAUAGUCCCUAAUAAAAAACUAAAUUAAAAUUCUUUUACAGCUCUGACCAUGGAGUAGGGGGAGGUUAAUGUGGUAUGUGGUUAUAGAGAAGGCUUGAUGGACCACCAAAGCCAGCUCUUAAUGUCUUAUGGAGAAGUCAAAAGACUGUGUGUAAAGUUUAUAGGUCUUUUCCCAAGAGCUUCACGUAUUCUAAUUUAUUUAAGUUUGAAAUGACUCAGUGUGCUUUUAAAAAAAGCACAUGAACUUGGUAGAAAAAAUGGUGGGGGAAUAGGGGAGGAAUUGGGGGGAAAAGGAAUGGUGUAUAUAGUUGAUCAAAACACAGUAUAUGCAUGUACAAAAUUCUCAAUAAAAAAGAAAAAAAAUUCACAUGAAAAGUUUUCAUUUUAAAAGAAAAUGUGCAGAGUCAUUUUAUAAAGUAAAGACAUCUGAAAUAAACAAGAU